rnacentral:misc_RNA from 1 species
UUUCGGUAUUUGAGUUGCCUUAUCUGUUCCUUUUCUUGAUUUCUUUAGGUUAUAAUAAGAUAGCCAAAAUAUAUGGCUGGUUCUUCUCACAUAUACUUUAAAGGUUGCAAACUGCUUUCUGUGUGUUGGUUUUCAUCAUCCUCUGGCGCCUACUUAAGAAGAGAUGCUGACAAAUGUCCAAACUAAAAAAGCUAAACAAAAGAAUGACAGAAAUAUUUCCAUAUCAUUCAUGUAUCAUUUUUUACUUGUCUGAGUUAUCUUCUUUUCAGUUUCUGUAGGUUACUUUAAAGGUUGCAAACUGCUUUCUGUGUGUUGGUUUUCAUCAUCCUCUGGCGCCUACUUAAGAAGAGAUGCUGACAAAUGUCCAAACUAAAAAAGCUAAACAAAAGAAUGACAGAAAUAUUUCCAUAUCAUUCAUGUAUCAUUUUUUACUUGUCUGAGUUAUCUUCUUUUCAGUUUCUGUAGGU